ACUCCUUCUCACUAGUUGCUGUAAGACAAACUCCUUGCUUGUUAGUUAUGGCUCGUACCAAGCAGACCGCUCGCAAGUCCACCGGCGGCAAGGCGCCGCGCAAGCAGCUGGCCACCAAGGCGGCCCGCAAGAGCGCGCCCGCCACCGGCGGCGUGAAGAAGCCGCACCGCUACCGGCCCGGCACGGUGGCCCUGCGCGAGAUCCGGCGCUACCAGAAGUCCACGGAGCUGCUGAUCCGCAAGCUGCCGUUCCAGCGGCUGGUGCGCGAGAUCGCGCAGGACUUCAAGACGGACCUGCGCUUCCAGAGCUCGGCCGUGAUGGCGCUGCAGGAGGCGUGCGAGGCCUACCUGGUGGGGCUCUUCGAGGACACCAACCUGUGUGCCAUCCACGCCAAGCGUAACAUGUCUGGACGCGGCAAGGGCGGCAAGGGCCUGGGAAAAGGUGGCGCCAAGCGCCACCGCAAGGUGCUGCGAGACAACAUCCAGGGCAUCACCAAGCCCGCCAUCCGGCGCCUGGCUCGGCGCGGCGGCGUCAAGCGCAUCUCCGGCCUCAUCUACGAGGAGACCCGCGGGGUGCUGAAGGUGUUCCUGGAGAACAUGAUCCGGGACGCCGUCACCUACACCGAGCACGCCAAGCGCAAGACCGUCACGGCCAUGGACGUGGUCUACGCGCUCAAGCGCCAGGGCGCACCCUCUACGGCUUCGGCGGCUAAAAACUUAGGUCUUUA